AGACCCGAAACCCGGUGAUCUAGCCAUGGGCAGGUUGAAGGUUGGGUAACACUAACUGGAGGACCGAACCGACUAAUGUUGAAAAAUUAGCGGAUGACCUGUGGCUGGGGGUGAAAGGCCAAUCAAACCGGGAGAUAGCUGGUUCUCCCCGAAAGCUAUUUAGGUAGCGCCUCGUGAAUUCAUCUCCGGGGGUAGAGCACUGUUUCGGCUAGGGGGCCAUCCCGGCUUACCAACCCGAUGCAAACUGCGAAUACCGGAGAAUGUUAUCACGGGAGACACACGGCGGGUGCUAACGUCCGUCGUGAAGAGGGAAACAACCCAGACCGCCAGCUAAGGUCCCAAAGUCAUAGUUAAGUGGGAAACGAUGUGGGAAGGCCCAGACAGCCAGGAUGUUGGCUUAGAAGCAGCCAUCAUUUAAAGAAAGCGUAAUAGCUCACUGGUCGAGUCGGCCUGCGCGGAAGAUGUAACGGGGCUAAACUAUGCACCGAAGCUGCGGCAGCGACACUAUGUGUUGUUGGGUAGGGGAGCGUUCUGUAAGCCUGUGAAGGUGUGUCGUGAGGCAUGCUGGAGGUAUCAGAAGUGCGAAUGCUGACAUAAGUAACGAUAAAGCGGGUGAAAAGCCCGCUCGCCGGAAGACCAAGGGUUCCUGUCCAACGUUAAUCGGGGCAGGGUGAGUCGACCCCUAAGGCGAGGCCGAAAGGCGUAGUCGAUGGGAAACGGGUUAAUAUUCCCGUACUUGGUGUUACUGCGAAGGGGGGACGGAGAAGGCUAUGUUGGCCGGGCGACGGUUGUCCCGGUUUAAGCGUGUAGGUGUGUGUUCCAGGUAAAUCCGGUUCACUUUAACACUGAGGCGUGAUGACGAGGCACUACGGUGCUGAAGCAACAAAUGCCCUGCUUCCAGGAAAAGCCUCUAAGCAUCAGGUAACAUCAAAUCGUACCCCAAACCGACACAGGUGGUCAGGUAGAGAAUACCAAGGCGCUUGAGAGAACUCGGGUGAAGGAACUAGGCAAAAUGGUGCCGUAACUUCGGGAGAAGGCACGCUGACACGUAGGUGAAGUGAUUUACUCAUGGAGCUGAAGUCAGUCGAAGAUACCAGCUGGCUGCAACUGUUUAUUAAAAACACAGCACUGUGCAAACACGAAAGUGGACGUAUACGGUGUGACGCCUGCCCGGUGCCGGAAGGUUAAUUGAUGGGGUCAGCGCAAGCGAAGCUCCUGAUCGAAGCCCCGGUAAACGGCGGCCGUAACUAUAACGGUCCUAAGGUAGCGAAAUUCCUUGUCGGGUAAGUUCCGACCUGCACGAAUGGCGUAAUGAUGGCCAGGCUGUCUCCACCCGAGACUCAGUGAAAUUGAACUCGCUGUGAAGAUGCAGUGUACCCGCGGCAAGACGGAAAGACCCCGUGAACCUUUACUAUAGCUUGACACUGAACAUUGAGCCUUGAUGUGUAGGAUAGGUGGGAGGCUUUGAAGUGUGGACGCCAGUCUGCAUGGAGCCGACCUUGAAAUACCACCCUUUAAUGUUUGAUGUUCUAACGUGGACCCGUGAUCCGGGUUGCGGACAGUGUCUGGUGGGUAGUUUGACUGGGGCGGUCUCCUCCUAAAGAGUAACGGAGGAGCACGAAGGUUGGCUAAUCCUGGUCGGACAUCAGGAGGUUAGUGCAAUGGCAUAAGCCAGCUUGACUGCGAGCGUGACGGCGCGAGCAGGUGCGAAAGCAGGUCAUAGUGAUCCGGUGGUUCUGAAUGGAAGGGCCAUCGCUCAACGGAUAAAAGGUACUCCGGGGAUAACAGGCUGAUACCGCCCAAGAGUUCAUAUCGACGGCGGUGUUUGGCACCUCGAUGUCGGCUCAUCACAUCCUGGGGCUGAAGUAGGUCCCAAGGGUAUGGCUGUUCGCCAUUUAAAGUGGUACGCGAGCUGGGUUUAGAACGUCGUGAGACAGUUCGGUCCCUAUCUGCCGUGGGCGCUGGAGAACUGAGGGGGGCUGCUCCUAGUACGAGAGGACCGGAGUGGACGCAUCACUGGUGUUCGGGUUGUCAUGCCAAUGGCACUGCCCGGUAGCUAAAUGCGGAAGAGAUAAGUGCUGAAAGCAUCUAAGCACGAAACUUGCCCCGAG
rnacentral:rRNA from 1 species